rnacentral:rRNA from 1 species
AGUGAACGCUGGCGGUAGGCCUAACACAUGCAAGUCGAACGGCAGCACAGUAAGAGCUUGCCCUUACGGGUGGCGAGUGGCGGACGGGUGAGGAAUACAUCGGAAUCUACUUUUUCGUGGGGGAUAACGUAGGGAAACUUACGCUAAUACCGCAUACGACCUACGGGUGAAAGCAGGGGAUCUUCGGACCUUGCGCGAUUGAAUGAGCCGAUGUCGGAUUAGCUAGUUGGCGGGGUAAAGGCCCACCAAGGCGACGAUCCGUAGCUGGUCUGAGAGGAUGAUCAGCCACACUGGAACUGAGACACGGUCCAGACUCCUACGGGAGGCAGCAGUGGGGAAUAUUGGACAAUGGGCGCAAGCCUGAUCCAGCCAUACCGCGUGGGUGAAGAAGGCCUUCGGGUUGUAAAGCCCUUUUGUCGGGAAAGAAAAGCAGCAGGUUAAUACCCCGCUGUUCUGACGGUACCCAAAGAAUAAGCACCGGCUAACUUCGUG